GCUUAAAAGCUAGCUCCAUUUCAAAAUAACAUAAAAAUAUUAAUAAUAUUUAAUACACUUAACAAACACACCAAACCAUUCUUCCAUCUUAGUAUGGGUGAUAAAAAAGAUAAUUUAAAGCUAUAGAAAAAGUACCGCAAGGGAACGCUGAAAGAGAAAUGAAACAAUUCAGUAAAGCAAUAAGAAGCAGAGACAAAAACUCGUACCUUUUGCAUCAUGUUUUAGCAAGACAAAAUUAAGCAAAAUGAUUUCUAGUUUAAAUCCCCGAAACUACGUGAGCUACUCCGGGAUAACCUAAAUAUAGGGUGAACACGUCUCUGUGGCAAAAGAGUGUGAAAAUCUCUGAGUAGAGGUGAUAAAUCUACCGAACCUAGUUAUAGCUGGUUGCUUGAGAACUAAAUACAAGUUUAGCCUUUUAUUUUCUUAACUUAAUAUUAAGUAUUUUUUCAAAAAUUAAAGAAUAAUAAAGAGUUAUUCAUAAGAGGUUCAGCUCUUAUGAAAAAGGAUACAACCUUACUAAGGUGAAUAAAGAACAUAUUUAUAUAAAGUUAAUGUUUAAGUGGGCUUAAAAGCAGCCAUCUCAAAAGAAAGCGUUAAAGCUCAAACACCAAAAUACUUUUAAUUUAGAUUACUUAAUCAUACUUCCCUUAACUUAUCAAGCUUUCCUAUAAUUUUAUAGGAGGAAUUAUGCUAAUAUGAGUAAUAAGAGGAAAAACCUCUCCUAACACUCCUGUAAAUCGAAACGGAACAACCAUCGAAAAUUAAUCGGUCCCAAACAAAGAGGGAAGUGAAGUACAAAAUAAAUCACUAGAAAAUUAUUCAAAAAUUACCGUUAAACCUACACUGGUGUGUAUAAAAGGAAAGAUAUAAAGAUUGAGAAGGAACUCGGCAAAUAUACUUACAAGCCUCGCCUGUUUACCAAAAACAUCGCUUCUUGACAUUACAAAAUAAGAAGUCCCGCCUGCCCUGUGACACAAGUUUAACGGCCGCGGUAUUUUGACCGUGCGAAGGUAGCGCAAUCACUUGUCUUUUAAAUAGAGACCUGUAUGAAUGGCAUAACGAGGGCUUAACUGUCUCCUUCAUCUUAUCAAUGAAAUUGAUCUCCUCGUGCAGAAGCGGGGAUUUAAACAUAAGACGAGAAGACCCUAUGGAUCUUUAGUCGCAAGAACAGAACAUGUCCAUUCCAUUAGUUAAAUAACGAAAAUUAUUGAAACCUGUUCUAGUGCCUUUGGUUGGGGCGACCACGGAGUAAAAACUAACCUCCACGAGGAAUGAAGAAAUCUCUUCCUAAUUAAGGCUGACAAGCCUAAAAAUCAGAAUUUCUGACCAUACGAUCCGGCAAAGCCGAUCAACGAACCGAGUUACCCUAGGGAUAACAGCGCAAUCCUCUUUUAGAGUCCAUAUCGACAAGAGGGUUUACGACCUCGAUGUUGGAUCAGGACAUCCUAAUGGUGCAGCAGCUAUUAAGGGUUCGUUUGUUCAACGAUUAAAGUCCUACGUGAUCUGAGUUCAGACCGGAGUAAUCCAGGUCAGUUUCUAUCUAUGAAAUGUUUUAUUCCAGUACGAAAGGAUCGAAGAAAAAAGGCCAAUGAUUCAAUCAAGCCUUCCUCUUAUCUAAUGAAGUCAAAUAAAAUAGACAAAAGAACAUAAUAUUAAAGGGGAGAUAACCCUAU
rnacentral:rRNA from 1 species